GCGGUCGCCUCCCAAAAGGUAACGGAGGCGCUCAAAGGUUCUCUCAGUACGGUCGGAAAUCGUACGAAGAGAGUAAAGGCAAAAGAGCCCUUUAUUGCAAGACAUACAGGUCGAGCAAGGAUGAGAAGCGGACCUAGUGAUCCGGUUGUUCUGCGUGGAAGGGCCAUCGCUCAACGGAUAAAAGCUACCCUGGGGAUAACAGGCUUAUCUCCCCAAAGAGUACACAUCGACGGGGAGGUUUGGCACCUCGAUGUCGGCUCAUCACUGCCUGGGGCUGUAGUAGGUCCCAAGGGUUGGGCUGUUCGCCCAUUAAAGUGGUACGCGAGCUGGGUUCAGAACGUCGUGAGACAGUUCGGUCCCUAUCCGUCGCAGGCGUAGGAAAUUUGAGAAGACCUGUCCUUAGUACGAGAGGACCGGGAUGGACGUACCUCUGGUGUACCAGUUGU
rnacentral:rRNA from 1 species